rnacentral:rRNA from 1 species
CGCCUCCUGCUGACCUAUGGGAGGUCCAGCCUGCCCAGUGACAAAGUUUAACGGCCUCGGUACCCUAACCGCGCGAAGGUAGCAUAAUCACUUGUUCUUUAAAUAGGGACUCGUAUCAACGGCAUCACGAGGGCUAGACUGUCUCCCCUCCCUAAUCAGUGAACCUGACCUCUUCGUGAAAAGGCGAAGAUACUCAUAUAAGACGAGAAGACCCCAUGGAGCUUAAAACUAAGUAACACUCUCUUACAUAUAUCCCUUAAAAAACAAGAGAACUGCCACCUAUUUUUUGGCUGGGGCAUCCAGGGAGCAUAACACAACCUCCUUGACGAACCAUCUUAGAACUACUAUUCCAAGAAGCAGCAAACUGAAGUAAUAUGACCCGAUAAUCGAUCAACGAACCAAGUUACCCUGGGGAUAACAGCGCAAUCCAUUUCAAGAGCCCUUAUCGACAAAUGGGUUUACGACCUCGAUGUUGGAUCAGGGUACCCCAGUGGUGCAGCCGCUACUAAAGGUUCGUUUGUUCAACGAUUAAAACCCU